UCAUGUCGUAAAGUUGGCCGGUUACUACAAAUAACAAUUUAAAAUCUAAAGAACUUGGCGGUGUCUUAUCAUACCAGGGGAACCUGUUCCUUAAUUCGAUAAUCCACGAAACCACUACCACUAAUUGAAAAACCAGCUUGUGUACUGCCGUCAUCAGCAUACCUUAAAAAGAAACAGUAUGCAAUAAUAAUAAAAAUUAAUUAUGUCAGGUCAUAGUACAGCCUAUUUAGUGGAGGAAAUGGGUUACAAUCAAUAUCUAGAUACCAAAUCAAGAACUAAAGUUCUGACAAAAGGUGGACUUGGCAGUAAUGAAAAGUAGAAAACUUUCAUGAAAACAGAUCUAAGACAUGCACACAUCGCCCGUCACUCCCCUCUAAAGAGG
rnacentral:rRNA from 1 species